GCAGCCGUGGCCUACUGGUUAGGGCUUCAGGCUUGUAACCAAAGCAUUGCCGGUUCGAUCCCCGACCAGUAGGA
rnacentral:tRNA from 1 species